ACAAUUCAGAUUAUUAACCUAUUAUAAUAUAAUUUGUCUAUAUUUUGUAUUUAAUAAAUUGACAAUUUGAAUUAAAAUUGUAUACAGUAUACAAAGAUUUCUAUUGCUCUGGGUAAAAGGGGAUCGGUAGUCUUCCCAAUAACUGUCGCCAUCUAUCCGUCGCGCUCAAUAUUAUUAAUUAUGUUGAAUUUUAUUUCCAGACAUAAAAUACAUACAUGUUGCGCAUGCGCCGAUAAUUUAAAUAAACAUAACGGUAAAUAUAAAUAACUUAAAAAUUAAUAAUAUUGCAACAAAAUCCUUAAAUUACAUUUAAUUCUAAUAAUAAUUCAUUCGUUACGAAGAAAUGUCCAUUAACUUACAAGAAAUGAAUGCUUUAUAAGAUGGAAGGUAGGUUCUGUUUAUAUACUAAUUACUAUACUUUGGUGUUCGAUACGAGAGCUAUAUAAGACCGUUGCCUGGCAGCAGUCUUUAGUCGAAGCCGAUCAGUGACAAGUGAAGGAUGUACUCAACUUUCUCUCCCAAAGAUAAUAAAAUUUCGAAGACGGUAGAAAUUAUUCCAGUAUUUACGGUUUUUUAAAUCGUGAUUAUACAAUUUACACAUAAGGUAUAAUUUUGUGCUAUAUAAAUAAGAAGCAUAAAUAAAAUGCGCAAGAUCAUUUCAGUUUUCAAAUUUCGUAGUAAAUAAGUAUUUAAAUACCGGAAAUUGGAAAAUAAAAUUAAAAAAUCUUUAUACGCUGUGUUAAUACGCAUGCUUGUCACGUGUUACAUUCAUCACUCAUACUUCCAACUAGGAAAUAUUUAUUGUUCCCUCUAUAUUAUCGCGUUUUAUAAAUUGAGAUUUUAAUUAAAUUUCGGCAAUAAUACAUAUAACAAAUAUAUAUUAUUAAUAUGUAAAACUGCACAACGGUUAUAAUGAAAUAUACAUACAGCAAAAUUGGAUUUCUUAGAUGUUUACAAACAAAUAGGUCAUUCAAACUUCUUAUUUUCAUUAUAACCAUAGCAAUAUCACGUAGUAUUUAAUUAAACUUUAGUCUAUAAAUCCAUAUGUAUUUCGUUAAUUCAAAAUUCUUUUCUGCAUAACUCUCAGAAAUCAUCGAAAUCGUGAUCAACAUUUUCAACUGCUUUUAAUCUCCAGUGUAAUAUCACGUACUUCUCACUUCACUUAUUUCAAGAGAUUCAGGAAAUUAUGAAAUUUUAUGCUAGAUACGUCACUGAAUCUUAUAAAUAGGUGAACCAUAUCCUCAAUCGGAUUUCGCAUCGUGUGUCAGGGAUCGGCUGCAGCAGCUAGGUACAUACCGCUCAAAGAGUGGCCAGGGCCAGCGCGUAAGAUCGCGCAGACGAUGUGACAACGUUGCACGGUCGAUAUGCUCUUUCAGGCAAAGUGCCAAGAUUGGUAAACGCACGCGGCGGUAUAUAGUCGUGGUUUCAGGUGCCCUUCCCUCCUCUAACGCCCGCGUUUCACCCCCACCGCCAUUCCUGGAACUUACCCGUGGGAUUCUGCGUGAUGGUGGGGGUUAAAUAACAAAGGUGGGGGAAUUGAAGCUGCGCAGAACGUUGCCAGACAUACGUCGCUGUUUGUGCCUCUGCGCAGCCUUACAUACAUAUACUCGACAGCCUCCUAUAUACUACAUAUGUAUUAUACUUAUUAUUUUAAUCAUGAUUUACGGCUGCAACGUUGCCGGUUCUCGCUGCAGGCACGCCCACUCGGUCUCCCUUUUUUCACUUUUCAGUCGUACAUACUAAUACAUAGAUGUAUGCGGGGAAAAGCAACGUCGCUUGAUCGAUACUUAAAGAAACAUAUAAAAACAAAAAGAUGUACAAAGUUGUAUUUAUCAGCAUCGUAUGAGCAUGUUUACGAAUAAAGAUACGUCUUUAUUAAGAUACAAAAUAAAAAAUCGCUAGCUUUCGUGCAUAGAUUGAGCAACUAGAACUAAAAUAAAGAAUAUUUAAAAAAUCGUAACUAUAUACGUUGUAAUUAAAAUGUUUAUAUGUUUGUUACUCUUUUAUUUCGAUUGUGUUUUUCUAUAAAUAAUUAUAUAUAUAACAGGAAUAACAAAGAUGUUAAUCUAUAUGACCGUGCAACGUUGCCAUUACAAAAUGGCCGUCGCGGCCUUGAUUGGCCCGAUUUCUUCUAUGGCAUACGCUGGGCCAGUCGUUUUGGCAACACUGGAAGGUCAUAACAAUCUAUUUAUAGCAGCCCUCUAUUGCUGCUGUUGCUAUGCCAAGUGAAGGCACAGUUCGCGGGGAGGGGAGGCAGUGGAAAUGGAGGGGGAAGAGAUUACUGAAGAACAAUAUGGCGUUGAACAGGAUGUGCCCUGUACCGAUCUACCCAUUCUCUUUGCCAUAACUACAUUGUCCUUUCUUUCUAACGUUCACAAUCUUUCUCUUACAAUUUCCUUCUUCUUCCUAAUAUCAACGUAUAUCAUUCAUUUCGUUCAAUUAUGAAAUCAAAAGAGCAAACAUUACAUAACGCGAUGAAAUAUAGUACAGAGAGACACAAUUAAAUACGAUAGCCUUAAUCGUGAUAAGACGUAUGGGACGAGGUUACCAUCGCUUUAGUGUUCUGUGACGAGAAAAACAAGGAUGAUUCGAAGAGUGGGGAGAACGAAUAUUCGAAUUGCAUAUGGCGGCGUGCACUUGCAGCAGCUGACAAGCAUCGUGGUGUGCGUUUUCAUGGUACACAAGCACGCAUGCGACUUGCACGAAGUCGCGCCGCUUCGGGAAUGCUCGGCAAACUUCGUGAAACUGCCUCUUUGUUACAUCAUUCUUUAGCUCUUAUGUAGUACAUAGAGGCGGAUACAUUAUAUACUGCGUCUGCACAUAUUUCCCUCCCAGCUCUCGCUCUCGUAUGUACAGUGUAUAUAGCUGCCUUUGCAUAUAUGUGCCGGCGAAGCAAACGGGCGGACGGUCGGAGGAGUGAGAUCAGCUCCAUGUUACACGAGGCGCACAAAUGUAAAUCAACUAGAACGGACACUAGAGUAUGUAAUAUGUAUAUGCGUUUUAUCAUCUAUAAUUUUACCAAUUAUAAUAAAGAAAAUUCUUAAUAAUCUUAUUCCAUAUUAAACUAUUACAACUUCACUAGAUCUAAAUAAAUCGUAACUUUAAAUAAAUUAUUAUUUGUUUUCACUGUAAUAUACAAUAGUGCUUUCUGCAUUUUAAAAUUUUUGAUUAUUCCAUUACUCAGAAAAUAUAUAUAUAUAAAACUUUUCGCAUACAUAUUAAACUUUUAUUAAAAAAAUAUAUUUUGCCAAAGUACUCAAAAUUACGGAAUAAAGAUGAACCAAAAUUACUUUGAAAGAACAAAAUCCAGGGGCCUCUUGCAUAAUAUAAUAUAACGUAAUAUAUAGUAAUAUAAUAGUAAUAUUACUAAUAUAGUAAUAUAAAGUAAUAGUAAGUAAUAUAAACGUCUCCUUUACGAUUUCACAAUUUCUUAUCAAAUAGGAUAAUCAUAUAACGCGAUUUUUUCUUAAUUUAAUUGUGAAAUUUGUUACUAUUAUGCAAGGACAUUUAUUAAUAUUGAUAAUUUGUAAAAUUUCACUAAUGACAGUAGUUCAAUUGCAAAAGUGUAAAUGGAAGUUUAUAUGUAUCAUUUUCAAAAACUAAUGAAAAAGCAUUAUUGAAAAAAUGUUUUUAGUGAUAGAUAGAUCUAUCUUGCAACUAAUAACUGACAUCAAUAAUGUUUAUUUUUCAUCACGCUUUGUGGCGCCAAAAAACUUUUGGAAUACUUCACAUAUAAAAAGGACAUAAUCUAUAAUAAUCUCAAAGACAAUUCCCCAUCUUUUUAUUUCAGUUAUUUCUUUACUUAAUAAUAACGGAAUUACACAUCGAUACUGCUAGUAAUAUAUAUUAUGUCAUAUUCAUAUGUAAUAUUAUGGUACGGUAAACCUAACCAUAAAUCAUUAAAAAGAUUAUAGUUACUUAUAGGAAAAUAGUUGUAAAACAGGAAGCACAAAUUCUUAUGAGCGUUUUCAAUAAUGAAUGACUAUACUUACUUUAUCAUUGUACUGAUAGAAAACAGGCUAUAUAUUAUUUUUAUAUAAUAAAAUAACUAUGCACAUAAUGUA